UUUGUAUGGAUUAUAAAUUUUAUGGGUGAAUCUCUUGAUAAUUUACUAUCAAUGUUAUUGUGAAAUUGUUCUAUUUUGUGGAGGAGUUUGGAAUGGAGAUUGUGUUUUGGAAAAGAAAAUUUAGAGAGGAGUUAAAUUUUAGAGAUGGAAUUGUGAGUGGAAAUGGGGAAAAUUAAGAUUGAAUGUGGAAAUGUUUGGAAAGGAUUUUUAUGAUAAUUGGUGGUAUUUUUGUGAUGAAGGAAGUGAGAUUAAAUUGAUUUAGUUAUCGAACGGUCCUUGUGAAGGUUUAGAUUAAGUGAAGUCAUUGAAUGGUUAAGGAAUCGAUUGAGUGGUUAUGAGUUAGAGGGCAUUGAGAUUGUAAGGAAUUAUAGAAUUUAAUUCCGAAUAGAAGUGUGGAAUUUUAUAAUAAUUUGUGAUUAAUAGACGCUUAUUCCGAGGGGAAUGGGUUGUUUUGAGAGACGUACUGAGCCCUCGAGCGAGGAGGACACAGACAGGCAGCAGGGUUAG
rnacentral:lncRNA from 1 species